rnacentral:rRNA from 1 species
GAUCGGCCCGCGUCUGAUUAGCUAGUUGGUGAGGUAACGGCUCACCAAGGCGACGAUCAGUAGCUGGUCUGAGAGGAUGACCAGCCUCGCUGGGACUGAGACACGGCCCAGACUCCUACGGGAGGCAGCAGUGGGGAAUAUUGGACAAUGGGCGCAAGCCUGAUCCAGCCAUGCCGCGUGGAUGAUGAAGGCCCUAGGGUUGUAAAGUUCUUUCAGCGGGGAAGAUAAUGACGGUACCCACAGAAGAAGCCCCGGCUAACUUCGUGCCAGCAGCCGCGGUAAUACGAAGGGGGCUAGCGUUGCUCGGAAUUACUGGGCGUAAAGCGCACGUAGGCGGCUUUCUAAGUCGGGGGUGAAAUCCUGGAGCUUAACUCCAGAACUGCCUUCGAUACUGGAGAGCUCGAGUCCGGGAGAGGUGAGUGGAACUGCGAGUGUAGAGGUGAAAUUCGUAGAUAUUCGCAAGAACACCAGUGGCGAAAGCGGCUCACUGGCCCGGUACUGACGCUGAAGUGCGAAAGCGUGGGGAGCAAACCAGAUUAGAUACCCUGGUAGUCCACGCUGUAAACGAUGGAAGCUAGCCGUUGGCGAGCUUGCCUGUCAGUGGCACCCCUUAAGCUUUUAACCUCCCGCCUGGGGAGUU